UACGUAGGGUGCGAGCGUUGUCCGGAAUUAUUGGGCGUAAAGAGCUCGUAGGCGGUCUGUCGCGUCGGUCGUGAAAACUUGGGGCUUAACCCCGAGCUUGCGGUCGAUACGGGCAUCACUGGAGUUCGGCAGGGGAGACUGGAAUUCCUGGUGUAGCGGUGAAAUGCGCAGAUAUCAGGAGGAACACCGGUGGCGAAGGCGGGUCUCUGGGCCGAUACUGACGCUGAGGAGCGAAAGCGUGGGGAGCGAACAGG
rnacentral:rRNA from 1 species